rnacentral:rRNA from 1 species
AAUGAACGUUGGCGGCGUGGAUUAGGCAUGCGAGUCGUACGAGAACCCGCAAGGGGGAAAGUGGCGAACGGGGUAGUAAUGCGUAGGUGACGUGCCCUGCGGUCGGGGAUAGCUUAGGGAAACUUAAGGUAAUACCCGAUAAUCCCAUGAGGUUUGAAGACCAUAUGGGCAAAGGUGUGAUUCCACCACAGGAGCGGCUUGCGUGGUAUUAGCUAGUUGGUGAGGUAACGGCUCACCAAGGCUUCGAUGCCUAGGGGAUGUUAGCGCAUGAUCCCCACCACUGGGACUGAGAUACUGCCCAGACACCUACGGGUGGCUGCAGUCGAGAAUCUUCGGCAAUGGGGGAAACCCUGACCGAGCGACGCCGCGUGUGGGAUGAAGGCCCUUGGGUUGUAAACCACUGUCAGAGGGGGAUGAAGUGCCAGAGAGCUAUCUCUCUGGUUUGACAUAGCCUCA